rnacentral:rRNA from 1 species
GAUGAACGCUAGCUACAGGCUUAACACAUGCAAGUCGAGGGGCAGCAUUAAAGUUUGCUUGCAAACUUUAGAUGGCGACCGGCGCACGGGUGAGUAACACGUAUCCAACCUGCCGAUAACUCGGGGAUAGCCUUUCGAAAGAAAGAUUAAUACCCGAUGGUAUAUUUUCACCGCAUGGUGAAACUAUUAAAGAAUUUCGGUUAUCGAUGGGGAUGCGUUCCAUUAGGCAGUUGGCGGGGUAACGGCCCACCAAACCUACGAUGGAUAGGGGUUCUGAGAGGAAGGUCCCCCACAUUGGAACUGAGACACGGUCCAA